AGCAGACUGGAGCCACGCCAGAUGAUGAAGACACGGAUUUUGAAGAGGAGUUUUCGUAUGACUGGAUAAAUGAACUAGAGGAAUUGAUGGGCUAGAGAAACUUAAGUUCUGCCACCACCCAAUCACGGUGAUCUCUUUUACCUGGAAGGCCAGGCAUACUCUCCUUCGGACCUCCCGGAGCAAGUAGUUUUUUUAAACAUAAACCUUUUAAGAUUUGUAGUACAUUACAAUUGUACUUUAUUUUCACAAGGGUUGAAUAAGCAAAUGCUUACAAUUUCUCAUGAUUUUAUAUUAAAUUUGGUAACACUUUAUGAUAAAGUUACAUGAAUUACCAUGAAUUCAUGUAUAAAUUCAUGCAUAAAUCAUGCCUUACUUCAUGCAUUAAUAUCUUAAUUAAUUAUCAGGAACUAACAUGAGUCCAAAGUCCUUCAUGGAUAAACUACACAUUAAUUAAAACAUUAACUAAGAUGGGUACAUCAUCAUGGUUUAUUACACAUGAUCAUGAUGUGUUCUUUGUUCACAAAAAAAGAAAGAAAGCACUAUCUACUUUGGAUAAUAUCAUGAAUUUUUAAAUAAAAAUAGCAUUAUUUUGUGCAGGUAAAAACUACUUGAAUUACUAAAAUAUUUACAAAAAUCCACAUUGCCUCAUGCAUGCAUAGAGGUUAGAACAGUCUAUUAAUUAAUGUUAGAACAUUUUUUGAAUUAGUUAUUAAGCUCGUUCAUAUAGCCACCAGGAAAAUGGACAGACCCCAAAUACAAAAGUUUUUGUUUCUCAUGACUUCGUCGUGUGUGGCCACUCAGUCCUUUGAAAUACUGAAAACCAGUGUGCAAGUUGCAGGAAUCUACAGCUUCAGCUAUUUAAAAAAAAAGUUGGUAGAUUCUUAUUGAAUAUUUACAAAAAUUAAUAAGUUUGUAAAUGAACUGCCAUGUGUUUGUGCCAUUUAUGUGCUUAACAGUGUAUUUUUGUUCAGCGUUAAAUAUUUAAUUUCAAUAUUUCUACACCUAACCAAAAUUACCCCCAAUCUACACCUAAACCCAAUUUAUAGUAAAUAUAGACAAUUUGUAAACAAUAACAAAAACUUUGGAACACUACUGCACAUGUCUGGUCCUAAAGAAUUUCCUGUAGGACCAUGUUUAAAUCUCAUCUGUCAAAACAAAAAUAUUUUUUUGGUUUGAGCGAAUACGUAAUGGUUAAAUCAUUCAAAAGUCAUUCAAAAAACUUAAAUGGUGAUUGGGAUUAUCCUUUAAAAAUGGCUGAGGCGCAAACCUACAAAAAACAUUCAAAUUAGUCCUCCAGACGUCUCAAAUCAGCUCUGAUUCAUGCUGCGUGUGUGUACAAGAGAAAUGGCGGCAAAUGCGUAUCACAGUUUGGAUGCUUACAAUUACCUUCUUAGUGGAAAGGUUAGGACCAUUUGUCCGUACAGUGGAUGACAUCAGUGUUGUUAGUUAAUCUGAAGCAAGACAAACAGUGUCACUUAUGUACUUGUCAUAUUUUGUCGUUAAGAUGUCCCAGGGAGAUGAUUAGUUUACAUUUCACUUGCAUUGCUGGACUGUAUAUCUAUGUAAAUAUCUAUGUAAAUAUUAAUUUUCAUGCUGUACAACGCUUUUCACUGUACAUAUCAUUUCUGCAUACUGCAGCUUUACAGAACAUGCAUAUAUAUGCAUAUAUGCAUACGCUAAAUUAAUGCUAGUAAACUAAUCACUACAUGCUAUUAUUACUGAUCAAGAUAAGAACACAUUAAAAUUUAAUGUGUUCUUAGUUUGAUCAAGUUUGUUACUGUGGAAUAAUAAUAUUAAUGUUUGAAUGCUCUGAGCCAUCAUGUGGUCACAAAUAAACAAGAUGAAAGCAAUUCAGUGUUGGCUACCAUGUUUUGCAUAAACCU